rnacentral:tRNA from 3 species
GCCCGAGUGGUGAAAUCGGUAGACACAAGGGAUUUAAAAUCCCUCGCUUUUCGAGGCGUGCCGGUUCGAUUCCGGCCUCGGGCA